AUUGAACGCUGGCGGCAGGCCUAACACAUGCAAGUCGAGCGGAUGAGGGGAGCUUGCUCCCUGAUUUAGCGGCGGACGGGUGAGUAAUGCGUAGGAAGCUGCCCGAUAGAGGGGGAUACCAGUUGGAAACGACUGUUAAUUCCGCAUAAUGUCUACGGACCAAAGUGUGGGACCUUCGGGCCACAUGCUAUCGGAUGCGCCUACGUGGGAUUAGCUAGUUGGUGAGGUAAUGGCUCACCAAGGCGACGAUCUCUAGCUGGUUUGAGAGGAUGAUCAGCCACACUGGAACUGAGACACGGUCCAGACUCCUACGGGAGGCAGCAGUGGGGAAUAUUGGACAAUGGGCGCAAGCCUGAUCCAGCCAUGCCGCGUGUGUGAAGAAGGCCUUCGGGUUGUAAAGCACUUUCAGCGAGGAGGAAGGGUGGUGUGUUAAUAGCACAUCAUUUUGACGUUACUCCCAGAAGAAGCACCGGCUAACUCUGUGCCAGCCGCCGCCGUAACAC
rnacentral:rRNA from 1 species